UGGAGGCGGAGGUGGUGCUGUUCAUGGGAGCACUCCCAAGACUUGCUUCUGAAUGGAACACUUAAAUGAGGUAGGUAAAGCUCUGUUCUUCAGGGUUCGUCCAUCUGAGUGCAUAGGGAGGAGACAGAAACAAGCACUGAAGAGGAAAAGCGAGUAGGCUUUCAGAAACGAAACUACUUGUAAGGCAAAUCACGGUCCCAUUAGGUACCCACAACUAAGGAGUCUUAACCAGUCCGAAGGUUCAUAUUCCACCGUCUCACUAGACCCCGGUUCUCUUCUUUGCAACCCUGUGAACUGAGAGCUCACACCCAGAAAGUCACUUUCUAUGAUGGCCAACAAACUAAAUACAGAAUGGUAUCCAAGGAGACGGCGACACACUACGGAGACAGCCUGUGCUUCACCUUUAUCCUAAUGUCUUUCCGUGCUUUGGAGGGAACCUGAGAAGCCUGCAGCCUUCGGUCGCCCUGGUCAGCUCCUUGUGUGUUGGAAGGGUGGACUUGAAUUUGUCUGUGGAAAGCAAACCCUCAAGUUCCAGGGGCUCUCCGAAAACUCACUGGUGACCCCACUUUCUCUUUCUCCCUCACCUCCUCUCGGUUCUCUGUGUAUGUGAGGAUUAUCCUGGGCAUCGUUCAUUUGAAUAUGGAACCAACAUACUUUCUUGUCCUUUCUGUAAAAGUACAAAAAUACAUGUAUUCACGUGAUACAAAGAGAGUCUCAUUUGCAUAACCAAUAAUGAGGCUUCAAGGUAGCUACCAUGUGGCGGUUGAAGGUGCCUAGGGAACUUCAUGCUCAAAACUCCUGUCUUACAUAUUCACUCUGAAACAUUUCUUUCAACUUUGAAAUUUUCCUCAUCUCUUUUCUUUCAAGCCACCUCGGGCCAAAGGAAAUCAUUAUGUCCUUUUAUAUGUUCCUGUGUGUUUUAUGUUUGGGCUGUCUUGAUAGUGCCAUUCCAUAAAAUCUUUUGAGAAGAAAAAAAAUGUGGGUAUUCAAAUCGGCUCCCUCUUAUUCUGUCAUUUUUUUUUUUACCUAAGAGCAGUUUUUCAAUAGUCCGAUGUAAAAGGGAAAGAAAAGACAUCAAUUACUAAGUUGUAAUAAAAACAAGACACCAC
rnacentral:lncRNA from 1 species